AGAGUUUGAUCCUGGCUCAGGACGAACGCUGGCGGCGUGCCUAAUACAUGCAAGUCGAGCGAGCUUGCCUAGAUGAAUUUGGUGCUUGCACCAGAUGAAACUAGAUACAAGCGAGCGGCGGACGGGUGAGUAACACGUGGGUAACCUGCCCAAGAGACUGGGAUAACACCUGGAAACAGAUGCUAAUACCGGAUAACAACACUAGACGCAUGUCUAGAGUUUAAAAGAUGGUUCUGCUAUCACUCUUGGAUGGACCUGCGGUGCAUUAGCUAGUUGGUAAGGUAACGGCUUACCAAGGCAAUGAUGCAUAGCCGAGUUGAGAGACUGAUCGGCCACAUUGGGACUGAGACACGGCCCAAACUCCUACGGGAGGCAGCAGUAGGGAAUCUUCCACAAUGGACGCAAGUCUGAUGGAGCAACGCCGCGUGAGUGAAGAAGGGUUUCGGCUCGUAAAGCUCUGUUGGUAGUGAAGAAAGAUAGAGGUAGUAACUGGCCUUUAUUUGACGGUAAUUACUUAGAAAGUCACGGCUAACUACGUGCCAGCAGCCGCGGUAAUACGUAGGUGGCAAGCGUUGUCCGGAUUUAUUGGGCGUAAAGCGAGUGCAGGCGGUUCAAUAAGUCUGAUGUGAAAGCCUUCGGCUCAACCGGAGAAUUGCAUCGGAAACUGUUGAACUUGAGUGCAGAAGAGGAGAGUGGAACUCCAUGUGUAGCGGUG
rnacentral:rRNA from 1 species